rnacentral:rRNA from 1 species
CAGUAGCCGCGGUAAUACGUAGGGUGCGAGCGUUAAUCGGAAUUACUGGGCGUAAAGCGUGCGCAGGCGGUUCGUUAAGACAGAUGUGAAAUCCCCGGGCUUAACCUGGGAACUGCAUUUGUGACUGGCAAGCUAGAGUAUGGCAGAGGGGGGUGGAAUUCCGCGUGUAGCAGUGAAAUGCGUAGAGAUGUGGAGGAAUACCGAUGGCGAAGGCAGCCCCCUGGGCCAAUACUGACGCUCAUGCACGAAAGCGUGGGGAGCAAACAGGAUUAGAGACCCCCGUAGUCCCUGUCUCUUAUAC